rnacentral:misc_RNA from 1 species
AAUAAAUUAUGGAGAGCAAAAGGGAUUGAAUAAUUAAUUCAUUUUUUAAGUUGUGUAUAUAUGAAUAAUGAUAGGAGGAUAAAUGAAAAUUAUAGAUUUAGGUAAUGUAGUAACCAGCUUGAAUGGUAUGCUUAACCCUUGUCAAGUGGAGUCAUCAUAACCGUUGUAUAUGUAAUUAUUAUAGAUGAGAAGGUGAAUAUUUACUUUGUUUAUUAUUUGAAUCGGAGGAUAUAGAUGUUUCAUUAUUUGUUAUCUGUUUACUUUUGGUAAAGUCUUCUUUGACAAUAUUUAUAUCUUUUACGGUAUGCUGGUGGAUAUAACCAUGUUGAGAUUCUUGGGUGUAAACAGGGAGAAAUUAUAAGUUUGAGGGAAGAUGCUUCAGGAUUUUAUUAGUAAAACUUUAUAGCAAGAAAAUAUAAUAUAAAAAUGUCAUGCAUAAAUUAUUUAAGAGCUAUGUAAACCUGAUUCUCCGUUUAAAAAUGUGGGUAUGUAGAGAGCCCUCGGUUAUGGUCCAAAGUAAGUAAAUUUUGAAUUUCUUAAUUUUUUUUUUCGGC